GACGAACGCUGGCGGCGUGCUUAACACAUGCAAGUCGAACGGAAAGGCCCUGCUUUUGUGGGGUGCUCGAGUGGCGAACGGGUGAGUAACACGUGAGUAACCUGCCCUUGACUUUGGGAUAACUUCAGGAAACUGGGGCUAAUACCGGAUAGGAGCUCCUGCUGCUGGGUGGGGGUUGGACAGUUUCGGUGGGUGGGGAUGGACUCGCGGGUUAUCAGCUUGUUGGGGGGGGAGUGGCUUACCAAGGGUUCGACGGGUAGUCGGCCUGGGAGGUGGAACGGGGACAUUGGGACUAAGAGACGGCGCAGACUCCUACGGGAGGCAGCAGGGGGGAAUAUUGCCCAAUGGGCGGAAGCCUGAUGCAGCAACGCCGCGUGCGGGAUGACGGCCUUCGGGUUGUAAACCGCUUUCGCCUGUGACGAAGCGUGAGUGACGGUAAUGGGUAAAGAAGCACCGGCUAACUACGUG
rnacentral:rRNA from 1 species